rnacentral:rRNA from 1 species
GCACUGUUUCGGCAAGGGGGUCAUCCCGACUUACCAACCCGAUGCAAACUGCGAAUACCGGAGAAUGUUAUCACGGGAGACACACGGCGGGUGCUAACGUCCGUCGUGAAGAGGGAAACAACCCAGACCGCCAGCUAAGGUCCCAAAGUCAUGGUUAAGUGGGAAACGAUGUGGGAAGGCCCAGACAGCCAGGAUGUUGGCUUAGAAGCAGCCAUCAUUUAAAGAAAGCGUAAUAGCUCACUGGUCGAGUCGGCCUGCGCGGAAGAUGUAACGGGGCUAAACCAUGCACCGAAGCUGCGGCAGCGACACUAUGUGUUGUUGGGUAGGGGAGCGUUCUGUAAGCCUGUGAAGGUGGCCUGUGAGGGUUGCUGGAGGUAUCAGAAGUGCGAAUGCUGACAUAAGUAACGAUAAAGCGGGUGAAAAGCCCGCUCGCCGGAAGACCAAGGGUUCCUGUCCAACGUUAAUCGGGGCAGGGUGAGUCGACCCCUAAGGCGAGGCCGAAAGGCGUAGUCGAUGGGAAACAGGUUAAUAUUCCUGUACUUGGUGUUACUGCGAAGGGGGGACGGAGAAGGCUAUGUUGGCCGGGCGACGGUUGUCCCGGUUUAAGCGUGUAGGCUGGUUUUCCAGGCAAAUCCGGAAAACCAAGGCUGAGGCGUGAUGACGAGGCACUACGGUGCUGAAGCGACAAAUGCCCUGCUUCCAGGAAAAGCCUCUAAGCAUCAGGUAACAUCAAAUCGUACCCCAAACCGACACAGGUGGUCAGGUAGAGAAUACCAAGGCGCUUGAGAGAACUCGGGUGAAGGAACUAGGCAAAAUGGUGCCGUAACUUCGGGAGAAGGCACGCUGAUAUGUAGGUGAAGCGACUUGCUCGUGGAGCUGAAAUCAGUCGAAGAUACCAGCUGGCUGCAACUGUUUAUUAAAAACACAGCACUGUGCAAACACGAAAGUGGACGUAUACGGUGUGACGCCUGCCCGGUGCCGGAAGGUUAAUUGAUGGGGUUAGCGGUAACGCGAAGCUCUUGAUCGAAGCCCCGGUAAACGGCGGCCGUAACUAUAACGGUCCUAAGGUAGCGAAAUUCCUUGUCGGGUA